UCUAACUUUUCUUUAGUUAUUAAUUCAUCAAAAUGAGGCAAAUAUUGGCAAAUAUAAGAAAUUUCCUUGAAAGGAUGUGGGAAAAAUGUGGAAACAUUGACUCCGAAUGAAUGUCUCCGAUUGCGAAAUCAGCUUGACGACAAGAAAUUGUGUAUAGAGUAUUAGAGUUUUAAAUUUUAGCUGAUAAAUAUACAAGUUAACAUAAUGUCACAAGGAUCCGAGG